AGGAUGAACGCUGGCGGCGUGCCUAAUACAUGCAAGUCGAGCGAACGGACGAGAAGCUUGCUUCUCUGAUGUUAGCGGCGGACGGGUGAGUAACACGUGGAUAACCUACCUAUAAGACUGGGAUAACUUCGGGAAACCGGAGCUAAUACCGGAUAAUAUUUUGAACCGCAUGGUUCAAAAGUGAAAGACGGUCUUGCUGUCACUUAUAGAUGGAUCCGCGCUGCAUUAGCUAGUUGGUAAGGUAACGGCUUACCAAGGCAACGAUGCAUAGCCGACCUGAGAGGGUGAUCGGCCACACUGGAACUGAGACACGGUCCAGACUCCUACGGGAGGCAGCAGUAGGGAAUCUUCCGCAAUGGGCGAAAGCCUGACGGAGCAACGCCGCGUGAGUGAUGAAGGUCUUCGGAUCGUAAAACUCUGUUAUUAGGGAAGAACAUAUGUGUAAGUAACUGUGCACAUCUUGACGGUACCUAAUCAGAAAGCCACGGCUAACUACGUGCCAGCAGCCGCGGUAAUACGUAGGUGGCAAGCGUUAUCCGGAAUUAUUGGGCGUAAAGCGCGCGUAGGCGGUUUUUUAAGUCUGAUGUGAAAGCCCACGGCUCAACCGUGGAGGGUCAUUGGAAACUGGAAAACUUGAGUGCAGAAGAGGAAAGUGGAAUUCCAUGUGUAGCGGUGAAAUGCGCAGAGAUAUGGAGGAACACCAGUGGCGAAGGCGACUUUCUGGUCUGUAACUGACGCUGAUGUGCGAAAGCGUGGGGAUCAAACAGGAUUAGAUACCCUGGUAGUCCACGCCGUAAACGAUGAGUGCUAAGUGUUAGGGGGUUUCCGCCCCUUAGUGCUGCAGCUAACGCAUUAAGCACUCCGCCUGGGGAGUACGACCGCAAGGUUGAAACUCAAAGGAAUUGACGGGGACCCGCACAAGCGGUGGAGCAUGUGGUUUAAUUCGAAGCAACGCGAAGAACCUUACCAAAUCUUGACAUCCUUUGACAACUCUAGAGAUAGAGCCUUCCCCUUCGGGGGACAAAGUGACAGGUGGUGCAUGGUUGUCGUCAGCUCGUGUCGUGAGAUGUUGGGUUAAGUCCCGCAACGAGCGCAACCCUUAAGCUUAGUUGCCAUCAUUAAGUUGGG
rnacentral:rRNA from 1 species